rnacentral:rRNA from 1 species
AUUGAACGCUGGCGGCCGGCUUAACACAUGCAAGUCGAGCGAGCGGCGGACGGGUGAGUAAUGUAUGGGGACUGCCUGAUAGCGGGGGAUAACUACUGGAAACGGUAGCUAAUACCGCAUACUAUCGGAAAACCCAUAUGGGAUUAGCUAGUAGGUGAGGUAAUGGCUCACCUAGGCGACGAUCCCUAGCUGGUCUGAGAGGAUGAUCAGCCACACAGGGACUGAGAACAGGCCCAGACUCCUACGGAGGCAGCAGUGGGGAAUAUUGCACAUAGGGCGCAAGCAUGAUGCAGCCAUGCCGCGUGUCUGACGAAGGACCUAGGUUUGUAAAGUACUUUCAGUCGGGAGGCGUUACCGACAGAAGAAGCAACGGCUAACUCCGUGCCAGCCGCCGCGGUAAUUC